AAUUAAGCCGCUAUUUUAAAUGCAUGUAAGACCCCGGAGGAAUGCUUUGGUGAAGCCGAGGUGCGUGUCGCAUCCUUUGGGCAGAUAUGGAAGGAAUGUGUUGUCACUGCUGGCAUCUGCUCCGACCAGCCGCCUCUGAGAAGAAGAUAACAAACACAGCGGUCCGGAGAGGAGGAAGAGGAGGAGGAGGAGGAGGAGGAGGAGGAGGGAGAAGGCAUUCUGAGCUGGGGCCGUUGGUGGGAGGAGCAGGCAGGCAGUUGGGUCACACACACCACCAGCGCAGGAGCCUCAAGUGCAGACAGCUGGGAAGACGGACAGCAAGAGAGAGAGAGAGAGAGAGAGAGAGGUAGGGACAGACAGAGAGAGAGAGAGAAAGAGAGAGAGGACACCAAGGGAAAAGCAGAGAAGAGCCUCAGGUUUCAGUCUUAGCCCCGUGGAACACACACGCACACACACACACAGACACAUACACACCCACACAUCCAUGGACCGAACGGCGUGACUGACAGACAGACUGACAGUCCGCCAGAAAUAGUCAUACAGGGAAAGAAAACUGCGAAAGAUAGGCCGGCCACGCACACACACACACACACACUUGGAAACAGUGUUCAUUUUUGACUUUGUAAGAGAGGUGUGCAGACGGGAGCCCGAGCUGUUGGACUGGAGAAGAAGGAGAGGAGACACCCUGGGGAGACCCCUCCACCCCCCCCCCCCCCCACAACACCAGCACUUCCUCCAGCAGCGAGGGAGAGACCAAGAGGAACAGAGAGG
ensembl:lncRNA